rnacentral:tRNA from 1 species
GCCUUCGUAGCGCAGACGGCAGCGCGUAAGUCUCAUAAUCUUAAGGUCGUGAGUUCGAUCCUCACCGAGGGCA